rnacentral:rRNA from 1 species
GACAGAGGAUGCAAGCGUUAUCCGGAAUGAUUGGGCGUAAAGCGUCUGUAGGUGGCUUUUUUUAAGUCUGCCGUCAAAUCCCCAGGGGCUUAACCCCUGGACAGGCGGUGGAAACUACCCAAGCUGGAGUACUGCAGGGGGAGACUGGAAGUUCCUGGUGGUAGCGGUGAAAUGCGCAGGAUAAUCAGGAGGAACACCGGUGGCGAAGGGCGGG